rnacentral:tmRNA from 11 species
UAAAUGAACCCAAAGGCAGUAUUUGGUAUUUCCAUUUAUUUAUAUUAAAAUAGGGGAUAAUAUUAGAAUUGACAUUUA